AUUCCUUUGUGGUAAUUUUUUUUUUUUGUUGCACAGCUUUAAAAAGUUGAAGUCUAUUGGAAACCUUCUUAUAAGAAACCUUCCUAGUCAGAUAAUUCAACUUUCUUCUUUUCUUCAUUCAUGAAAAUGCAGAUCCACUGAGAAAGGGAAUAAGGAGCUGUUGGCGUCUCCACCAGGCAGAUGUGGUAACAUACGAAACCUGGUCUCCCUCCAUCUCUGUGAACGAAGCGCUUUGCAAAAAACCCAACUAACCAACCAAACACACAGUGCCAAAAGGAAAGCCAUAUCCAAGCAGUAACUAAAGUAAGAUUAUGAAAUUCCAAAGGAAGAAUGAAACCCAGCAUCUCCACACCAUUGCAAUACCAGUCUCCAAAGAAAC
rnacentral:lncRNA from 1 species